rnacentral:rRNA from 1 species
ACUGUGAGAACGAAAGUUCUUGCUUUUAACUAGAUAACAACUUUCAGCAGUGGAUGUCUAGGCUCGCACAUCGAUGAAGAACGCUGCGAACUGCGAUACGUAAUGCGAAUUGCAGAAUUCAGUGAGUCAUCGAAAUUUUGAACGCAUAUUGCACUUCCG